rnacentral:sRNA from 1 species
GCUGGGUGUGGUGGUGCAUGCCUGUAAUCCUAGCAGCUCAGGAAGCUGAGGCUGUGGGAUCACAAGUUCAAAACCAGCCUCAACAACUUAGUGAGACCCUGUCUCAA